UACGUAGGUGGCAAGCGUUGUCCGGAUUUACUGGGCGUAAAGAGCGCGCAGGCGGUCGUUCAAGUCGCGUGUGAAAGCCCCCGGCUCAACUGGGGAGGGUCACGCGAUACUGAUCGACUCGAAGGCAGGAGAGGGUAGUGGAAUUCCCGGUGUAGUGGUGAAAUGCGUAGAGAUCCGGAGGAACACCGAAGGCGAAGGCAGUCUCCUGGCAAGUUACUGACGCUCAGGUACGAAAGCUAGGGGAGCGAACAGG
rnacentral:rRNA from 1 species